rnacentral:rRNA from 1 species
CAGCCGCCGCGGUAAUACAGAGGGUGCGAGCGUUAAUCGGAUUUACUGGGCGUAAAGCGUGCGUAGGCGGCUUCUUAAGUCGGAUGUGAAAUCCCUGAGCUUAACUUAGGAAUUGCAUUCGAUACUGGGAAGCUAGAGUAUGGGAGAGGAUGGUAGAAUUCCAGGUGUAGCGGUGAAAUGCGUAGAGAUCUGGAGGAAUACCGAUGGCGAAGGCAGCCAUCUGGCCUAAUACUGACGCUCAUGCACGAAAGCGUGGGGAGCAAACAGGAUUAGAUACCCCCGUAGUCCCUGUCUCUUAUAC